rnacentral:rRNA from 1 species
CGCGUAGGCGGCUCUGUUUGUCGCGUGUGAAAGCCCCGGGCUCAACCUGGGAGGUGCGCGCGAGACGGCGGGGCUGGAGUUCGGGAGAGGAGCGUGGAAUUCCCAGUGUAGAGGUGAAAUUCGUAGAUAUUGGGAAGAACACCGGUGGCGAAGGCGGCGCUCUGGACCGAGACUGACGCUGAGGCGCGAAAGCGUGGGGAGCAAACAGGAUUAGAUACCCUGGUAGUCCACGCUGUAAACGAUGUGUGCUAGACGUUGGGAGGCCUAGCCUCUCGGUGUCGCAGCCAACGCGGUAAGCACACCGCCUGGGGAGUACGGCCGCAAGGCUAAA